UUUAUUCCUUAAAUAGUCUAGAAGAAGAAGGUUAACAAAGAACUGCUUUAUUCUGGUUUUUCAGUUUGUUUGUACACGAGUGACAUCGGCAUUAUACAGUUUCAAUUAUCACAAGAAGGUGAUUAAACUUUACAAAAGGUGGAGUCUGAUGGAGUCACAUUUUCUUUCGGUUAUUUUAGCAAAAAUUCUUGUAAUUAAUGUUAAACUGUAUCGGCGAUUGUCAGAUGCUGCAUAAGAGGCCAUGGUCGUGACAUUUAUUACAAAAACAACAACACGAGUCUAGCUAAAUAAAGUUCAAAAUAUUUAUUUUAUAUUAAAUACAAAAUUAUAGAAAAUAUGAAGCUCCUACUUGUAAUUUGAGAAGUCAUAGACUUUAGAAUCUAUAUCUUUGACUUUGUGUUCUUCUAUAAGUAAAUCGAGGUAGAAAGACGGCGGAUUCAGCAGUGUCCAUAUUUUCUCCACCAGUUUUUUCACCACUAUGCAAGGUCGAUGAGGUUUUUACAUCGUCUGUUGGUUUUGUUAAAACCGGCAUUACCAAAGCCACUACCAUCAAACAAAGAAGAAAACGUUUCAUCAUCUGCAAUUAUAUUAGAACCAAAUAUUUGAAAUCAAAACAAAUUGUAAAGAUUAUUUUUGAAAUUUUUUUAUUGUCACUUAUGUUCAAAAGUAUAACCAAAAAUUAAGUAUGACAAA